CAAAAUGAGCAGCAGAUCCAGCAAGACUUCUGCAGAGAAAGAAAGACAGCAUGGUGCCCAAGUUCCCUCAUGGGAAGGUCUGGGAACAGUGUGCAUUCUUUGACCCGAAACCCUUCACCUUCUCUCCUGCGAGAAGCUGGCUGUGUUUCCAGAAAGUGCUCUACAGUGCCGCACAUCAGCCCUCGUCACCAUCACUAACGGAGGGACGCCCAGGCCUGGCAGCCCCACAACUCCAGUGUACUCCAAACCCUGCCCCAGUGCGGCUUCUCUCAAAGCAAAGACUGCUGCCGCCUGCCCGUCCCGCACAGUCAUGUAGGGGGUGUGAAAGGACACUGCCCAUCCUCAGCUUCCUUUUGAUCCUCGGAAGUGGCCAGAACUCUGCCUUCUGUAGGGUCAUAGGAGCUGAGAGGAGUUCUGAAUGCCGGAUGCCUGGUUGAUUCUUACUGGCUGUGGAUGCUUUGGUAACGCGUUUCCUCAGUGGCGCGAGGGAAGGAAUGACCAAAACUCCGAAGACCAAAGAAAA
rnacentral:lncRNA from 1 species